ensembl:rRNA 5S_rRNA 5S ribosomal RNA
GUCUAUGGUCAUACCACAUUGAAUGCGUCAGAUUUCGUGUGAUCUCAGAAUCUAAGCAGGGUUGGGCCUGGUUAGUACUUGGAUGGGAGACCACCUGGAACACUGGGUGCUCUAGGCU